rnacentral:lncRNA from 1 species
UCUUCAUCUUCUUCUUCUUCUUCUUUUUCUUUUUUGAUCAAUGAGUUAAAGAUUGGUGGUUAGCAUUGAUACAUGGAGGUUUAAUCUUCCUUGAUUCAAAUCUAAUUCAUCUUGAUCAUGGAUCAAGUGAAUGGCUUUGCAUUAAGGAUAGAUUGCUUCCUAAAUCAUGCAAAGGACCUAAAUCAAUACAAGAUCAUUUC